rnacentral:rRNA from 1 species
CCUACGGGAGGCAGCAGUGAGGAAUAUUGGUCAAUGGACGAGAGUCUGAACUAGCCAAGUAGCGUGAAGGAUGACUGCCCUAUGGGUUGUAAACUUCUUUUAUAUGGGAAUAAAAUGUUCCACGUGUGGGAUUUUGUAUGUACCAUAUGAAUAAGGAUCGGCUAACUCCGUGCCCGCAGCCGCGGUAAUACGGAGGAUCCGAGCGUUAUCCGGAUUUAUUGGGUUUAAAGGGAGCGUAGGUGGAUUGUUAAGUCAGUUGUGAAAGUUUGCGGCUCAACCGUAAAAUUGCAGUUGACAAUGGCAGUCUUGAGUACAGUAGAGGUGGGCGGAAGUCGUGGUGUAGCGGUGAAAUGCUGAGAUAUCACGAAGAACUCCGAUUGCGAAGGCAGUUCACUGGACUGCAACUGACACUGAGGCUCGAAAGUGUGGGUAUCAAACAGGAUUAGAUACCCGGGUAGUC